GCCAGUCCUUUAGAUAUUUAGUUUUGAACGUGUCAAAUAGAUGGCGUGAAAGAAUGUUGUUUGUUGUGUCAGAUAUGGGCUUAUGGCGGCUCGUUGCCAAAAGUUUAGCUACAGCUAUUUUCUUCGAAAAUUACCAAUGAAUUCGCUGGAGAAAAUGUGAAAGGUGCAUGAAGCCUGUACUGCCUUGUAUUGUGUUAAAAAUCCUGGAAUCCUACUGAAUAUGUCAUCCAAAUGACAGAGUGGCGGAAUCAUUCUAUGGGACUUGCCAGAUCACCAAACCCAUCACGGACCAAUCUCUCAUUCCAUCUUCUAGAGAACCUUGGAUAACCGAUUGGUGGCCGGUGUUCUUGGGUUGCAUGACAGACUUUAUGAGAAGUCAUGUCCAUUGGACAAAAAGGACAAUGACUAUACAGUAACCCGCUGGCUGCUUGCCUGCUACCCUUGAAUAUCCCCUUUUACUUCAUGAAAAUGUAAACAGGCCCUCUUGAUUUGAGGGUAACUCCUUCGCUACUUAUCAUGGACUUCAUCCAUUGGUGAAAACCAAUGACAACCAGGAGGAAAAGAGUGUGCUGGUCGAACGGGGAACUUGCAAGCUAAG